rnacentral:rRNA from 1 species
AUUGAACGCUGGCGGCAUGCCUUACACAUGCAAGUCGAACGGUAACGCGGGGCAACCUGGCGACGAGUGGCGAACGGGUGAGUAAUGUAUCGGAACGUGCCCAGUUGUGGGGGAUAACUGCUCGAAAGAGCAGCUAAUACCGCAUACGACCUGAGGGUGAAAGCGGGGGAUCGCAAGACCUCGCGCAAUUGGAGCGGCCGAUAUCCGAUUAGGUAGUUGGUGGGGUAAAGGCCUACCAAGCCUACGAUCUGUAGCUGGUCUGAGAGGACGACCAGCCACACUGGGGCUGAGACACGGCCCAGACUCCUACGGGAGGCAGCAGUGGGGAAUUUUGGACAAUGGGGGCAACCCUGAUCCAGCCAUGCCGCGUGCGGGAAGAAGGCCUUCGGGUUGUAAACCGCUUUUGUCAGGGAAGAAAUCCUUUGAACUAAUACUUCGGAGGGAUGACGGUACCUGAAGAAUAAGCACCGGCUAACUACGUGCCAGCAGCCGCAGUAAAAC